CGCGUAGGUGGGAUAGUAAGUCUACUUUAAAAGUGCGGGGCUCAACCCCGUGAUGGGGUGGAAACUGCUAUUCUUGAGUGCAGGAGAGGAAAGCGGAAUUCCCAGUGUAGCGGUGAAAUGCGUAGAUAUUGGGAGGAACACCAGUGGCGAAGGCGGCUUUCUGGACUGUGUCUGACACUGAGGCGCGAAAGCUAGGGGAGCGAACGGGAUUAGAUACCCCGGUAGUCCUAGCCGUAAACGAUGGGUACUAGGUGUAGGGGGUAUCGACCCCCCCUGUGCCGGAGUUAACGCAAUAAGUACCCCGCCUGGGGAGUACGGCCGCAAGGUUGAA
rnacentral:rRNA from 1 species